ensembl:processed_transcript 2610203C22Rik RIKEN cDNA 2610203C22 gene
CGAAGAUGACAAGCAGCUUUGAAUUCCUUCUGUUUUCAUGUUGAGCAGCAGCUGCUGCUAGAGCCUGGUAUGUCUGAGAUGAUUCCCACUCAUCACUGACUCUCUUGGGUGAGAGGAAGCGCCACACUCAUCCCUAGAAGAGUAUGAAGAAAAAGUGGAGGAAGCUGGAACUAAGUUCAAUGCAGCUCAACAGCUAUGAGAAGUAUGCCGCUGUGGGAUGUUCAGAGUGGAGGAGGCCACACAUGUGCAGGUGCCGCUCUGGAAACAUCUGGGCUGUGAAGGUGAACACUGCAGGAGAGGAGCAGUAGACACCACAUGGAUGCUGAGAAUUGAACCUGGGUCAUUUGGAAGAGCAGCUGAUAAUCUCCUAAUUGCCAAGCCACCUCUCCUGUCCCUGUCCGCUGCUUCUGUAGCCGAGUAUUCUUUGUUUGUUUUAAGCCUGAGUCUCAUGUGGCCUGGAUGAUCUCACCCUGACUGUGUAGAAGAGGAUGACCUUAAACUCCUGGUCCUCCUGCCUCCACCUUAGAAGUCUGGGAUUACAAGUGAGCUGCUGUGUCUGGUGUUGCAAACACUUUUCUAUAUUAAUCUGCCUUAAACAUGACUUUAUUUUAUUCUUUAAGUACUAUAGUUUAGUGUUAACUAUUGGAAAUGUGCAUCUAACAUUUUCAAUUAUCUAUUACACGUGAGUGAACAUUUUUAUAAGGAAACCCACUGUGCAUACCAUGAAUAUUACUUUGGCUAGUGAAACAGUGAGCCAAGGGGGAUGAACACUUUCAGGCGCUGGUACAUUUUGCUUGCUUGCUUUUUGGUAUAAUAAAUUCACCCUCCCAUGGCACAGAAGGUGAUGCUUGCCGCUGCCUUGUAUCCUAACAUAGCUCUACUCUUAACUCUCAACAUUCUGUUUGCUUUCUUUUUUUUAUUUUUUAAAAUUUCAAGGUACUAUACAAGAAAGUUUCAGUCAAAGUAUAAUUUGGGGAUAUAAACAAAGAUUCUGAUCGUUCCUUUCUCUGUUGUAUAUAAGAGACUAAGGAAAGAUCCUGCCCUUGAGAUUUUACAAAUCACAAUAUUUAGCAAGACACAGAGGAAUGGGAGCCCCCAUUCAGUGCUGGCAUGAAUGAAAAAACUGGUGUAAAAACUUGAGUGGUAGUUUCUAAAAAGAAAUUAAUAAUAAUACAAAAUUAUCAUAGAUUCAGAAAUUCCAUUCAUUUGUAUCAAGUAAGAGAAAUAAAAAUGUGCACACAAA